rnacentral:rRNA from 1 species
ACUGGAAGGUCCCUAAACCGAAAGGGGCUCUGCCCGCCCGAGGAUGGGCCGGCGGCCGAUUAGGUAGUUGGUGGGGUAACGGCCCACCAAGCCCAUAAUCGGUACGGGCAGUGAGAGCUGGAGCCCGGAGAUGGACACUGAGACACGGGUCCAGGCCCUACGGGGCGCAGCAGGCGCGAAACCUCCGCAAUGCUCGAAAGAGCGACGGGGGGACCCCAAGUGCCGUGGUACAACCACGGCUUUUCCGGAGUGUAAGAAGCUCCGGGAAUAAGGGCUGGGCAAGGCCGGUGGCAGCCGCCGCGGUAAUACCGGCGGCCCGAGUGGUGGCCACUAUUAUUGGGCCUAAAGCGUCCGUAGCCGGGCUUGUAAGUCCCUGGCGAAAUCCCACGGCUCAACCGUGGGGCUUGCUGGGGAUACUGCAAGCCUUGGGACCGGGAGAGGCCGGGGGUACUCCUGGGGUAGGGGUGAAAUCCUAUAAUCCCAGGAGGACCGCCAGUGGCGAAGGCGCCCGGCUGGAACGGGUCCGACGGUGAGGGACGAAGGCCAGGGGAGCAAACCGGAUUAGAUACCCGGGUAGUCCUGGCUGUAAAGGAUGCGGGCUAGGUGUUGCUUGGACCUCGAGUCCAAGCAGUGCCGCAGGGAAGCCGUUA